CUUGGGAGCUUGUGUGUCCUGGUGCCAGCAGCUGGAGAGACUGGGUCCAGGGGCAGCUACUUGGCAGACUGAGUGUCUGAGCCCAGCUGCUGGAGUACCAAAUGCAGUUAAAUAUCUGAACUAUAGCAGAGAGACUGAAUCAAUAACUGUUACUUGGCCACCAGCCCAAAAUAAAUUUGAUGGAUAUGUUCUUUCAAUAAACAGCAAGAUCUUCAACAAAGAGAAAAUAUUAUCUUCCGGUGUAAGCAUAUACAAAUUUGAGAAUCUUCAGCCAGGCACUGAUUUCUUAAUCAGUAUUGUGACAACCAAUGGACUAAAAAGAAGUCGUCCCACCAUACUCAAGAUUAGCACCUAUCCUGAUCCACCAUCAGAUUUACAGGUGUUUGGGCAAGAAGAAAAUGCAGUCUAUUUGUCUUGGAAACUGCCAAGAGGAGGAUUUGAUAUGUUUCAGGUUUCAUAUUGUCUGAUGAAUAAUGAAAAGUUGCUUACCACAACUGUUUAUGAUAGCAGAGCUGUAGUGAAAAAUCUGGUCCCUGGGAUGGAAUACUUGUUUCAGCUAAGGACAGUUAAAGGUUUGGAUUCCUCUGUGGCUGUGGAGAAAAGUGUCAUCACAAAACCAGCUGGGAUCUGCGGUCUUACAUUAAAAACGGAUUCCAGGAGCAGUGUCUAA
rnacentral:lncRNA from 1 species